rnacentral:lncRNA from 1 species
AUGUACAAAAAAGAGCUUCAUGACCAAGAUAAUCAUGAUGGUGUGAUCACUCACCUAGACCAAGACAUCCUGGAAUGUGAAGUCAAGUGGGCCUUAGAAAGCAUCACAAUGAGCAAAGCUAGUGGAGGUGAUGGAAUUCCAGUGGAGCUAUUCAAAAUCCUGAAAGAUGAUGCUAUGAAAGUGCUGCACUCAAUAUGCCAGCAAAUUUGGAAAACUCAGCAGUGGCCACAGGACUGGAAAAGGUCAGUUUUCAUUCCAAUCCCAAAGAAAGGCAAUGCCAAAGAAUGCUCAAACUACCGCACAAUUGCACUCAUCUCACACGCUAGUAAAGUAAUGCUCAAAAUUCUCCAAGCCAGGCUUCAGCAAUAUGUGAACCGUGAACUUCCAGAUGUUCAAGCUGGUUUUAGAAAAGGCAGAGGAACCAGAGAUCAAAUUGCCAACAUCCGCUGGAUCAUGGAAAAAGCAAGAGAGUUCCAGAAAAACAUCUAUUUCUGCUUGAUUGACUAUGCCAAAGCCUUUAACUGUGUGGAUCACAAUAAACUUGGAAAGAUUCUUCAAGAGAUGGGAAUACCAGACCACCUGACCUGCCUCUUGAGAAACCUAUAUGCAGGUCAGGAAGCAACAGUUAGAACUGGACGUGGAACAACAGACUGGUUCCAAAUAGGAAAAGGAGUGUGUCAAGGCUGUAUAUUGUCACCCUGUUUAUUUAACUUCUAUGCAGAGUACAUCCUGAGAAACGCUGGACUGGAAGAAGCACAAGCUGGAAUCAAGAUUGCCAGGAGAAAUAUCAGUAACCUCGGAUAUGCAGAUGACACCACCCUUAUGGCAGAAAGUGAAGAACUAAAGAGCCUCUUGAUGAAAGUGAAAGAGGAGAGUGAAAAAGUUGGCUUAAAGCUCAACAUUCAGAAAAUGAAGAUCAUGGCAUCUGGCCCCAUCACUUCAUGGGAAAUAGAUGGGGAAACAGUGGAAACAGUGUCAGACUUUAUUUUUUGGGGCUCCAAAAUCACUGCAGAUGGUGAUCACAGCUAUGAAAUUAAAAGAUGCUUACUGCUUGGAAGGAAAGUUAUGACCAACCUAGAUAGCAUAUUCAAAAGCAGAGAUAUUAGUUUGCCAACAAAGGUCCAUCUAAUUAAGGUUUUUCCAGUGGUCAUGUAUAAAUGUGAGAAGUGGACUGUGAUGAAAGCUGAGGGCCGAAGAAUUGAUGCUUUUGAACUGUGGUGUUGGAGAAGACUCUUGAGAGUCCCUUGGACUGCAAGGAGAUCCAACCAGUCCAUCCUAAAGGAGAUCGGUCAUGGGUGUUCAUUGGAAGGACUGAUGCUGAAGCUGAAACUCCAAUACUUUGGCCACUUCAUGCGAAGAGUUAACUCAUUGGAAAAGACUCUGAUGCUGGGAGGGAUUGGGGGCAGGAGGAUAAGGGGAUGA